rnacentral:lncRNA from 1 species
GGAAACUGUAGUGAUCCAAAGAGCAAGAGGGCAAAAGUCAGGAGGCUCUUGCAAAAAUCCAAGCGAGAAAUAACAGUGGCUUGAACCUGACUGGAAGUGACAGAGGAAUGGUUGGAGUCUGCUAUGUUGUGAAGCAUAUCUCAGUUUGGGCCAGAUCCCCGCGCCGGGCGUCGAGGGCUCUGUUGCCUGUCUCACGUUCUUCCCUGCACUGGAAGGAGCCAGGGCUGCCCGCCGGCGUGCAGGGAUUUGGUGCUGGCGCCUGCCUGGCUACGGAAGGAGCUUGCGGGGGGACCCUCAGACAUGAUCUGCUGCAUGUGGGGUACAUGCACCCCUGUGUGCAUUCCUGGGUGGUAGGGGGCUGUCCCCAGUGCGCCUGCCAUUUUGCAGCGGCGGUAAAUAUUAACGAAGUGGUGGGUGGCAGGCCCUCUGGGAGGCCUGGGCUCUCCCCGCGGGAGGAAUGGAAAUAAUGCUGUGUACCUUAGAUAGGGCUUUAGGUCCGGCCCCGGAGGCUGCUGGGCCCCGACCUGCUGGGGAUACACAGGCUGGCCUUCUGUUCCCAGGACCAGGAUGGCUUGCUGGGAGAGUCUCAGAACCCGCAGACCUCAGAAGUGCCACUUGCCUCUACGCGUGCAUUGGCCUCGCCCCACUCCUCAGUCUCUCUCGCAAACCACCUCUUCACCUGAAGACCUCUUCUCUCCAAAUCCACUUGCCAACAAGCCCAGUUAAGCCCGAUUUAAGGGCAUAGGAAACACAUGGAGUUCAGAUGAUUUCCUAAAAAACAAAAAACAAAAAACAAAAAAAAUCAGUCAGCUCACUUACUGAGCACUUGCUGUAUGCUGGCCUGUUACAAAGGCUGCCUCCUUCCUCAUGGCACGCAGGGACAUCGGUUGCCCCUCUGCCCCCCGCCCCCCCAGGAGAGGGGCCUGAAAUUCAAGCAGGUCAACGUCACAACUGGGAAACAAGCCUGGGCAUUUGACUGGACUAGUUCUAGCUACCAGAAAGUUCUCUCUGGGGAGGGGAAAGCAGGAGUAGUUACUUCCAUUUGCAUAAACAAACACCAGAAGGACACAUAGAAGCUAAUGUGACUACAUAUGGGGAGGAAUGGGGAGGAAUGGGGUACAGGAGGUUUCUCAAGGUAUAUCCCUGGGUAUUACGUUGAUAUGAUAACCAAUAUAUCCAUAUGAUAACCAUAUCCAUAUAACCGUAUCUAAUAAUAAUUAGAUAUAUUAUCUAAUAUUAAAAGCAAAUGAG